ensembl:lncRNA
AUAACAACCGUGAGCAUCUGAAUUCUGGCGGGGAUACAUGGAGCAGAGGUCUGGUCUCCUCCCCGAGGAAAGCUGGAGCAUCACGCCUCAUUUCCUGCAUUCAGGACAACAGCCUACAAAACAACAAGGCCAGUCUUACAAGUCUGAAUAAUAGUCGAACAACAGCCGGCUAAUAAUGAAGACUCAUUCCUUCGAGGCGAGACGCUGCAGGAGAAAUCCUCUUUCUUUAAAAUACGUUGGGCAGUUUUGAGAUCUGAAGCGGACAACAGCCUGCAAAACAACAACAAGGACAACAGCCUGAAAAACCACAAGAGUCUUCCCAAAAGUGAAAUCUUAAAGGCAUUUUUGGUUAAAAACCCUGCGGCCUCUCUGAAAUUUCCAUGAGAAGAUCGAUAUCCGUGAGUUAAAUAUGCAACCCAGAGGUGAUCGCCUCAGUGCAGAGCCAGAAAACGGGAUGGAAACAGAUGGUCUGGCUCUGAAAGCACCUCUGGAGAGCUCUAACCACAUCUCACCCAACGACAAUUUAUUCAUCCAUGUUUCCCGCUCUGACAACAAGACUCCGGGAGAAUCAAUCCGCCGAUCUGUUGCUCAACAAGACAAAGUAGCGGCGCUUAACUACCCCCUGAAACCACAAACUGUCAUCUUUACGUUAUAAUUUACGGAAUAAACACGCAACAUGCUCUGAGUUAGUUAGCGAGCUUCAGGGUGUUUCCAACCACUUUCAUACAGCUUUUCUACGGUUUAAACUCGGAGAAAAGACUCCUACAAACAGCCGGAAGCAACAAAAUAAACUUCAGCUCAUGUUGACGUUUUGUCAGAUUACAAUGAGACAAUUUCUUCCCUUUUUUUACAUUUUAUGGACAUGCACGUGAACCAGAAAGGCCUAGAAACUGCCUUUGAGAUGUUUCAUGUUUGUGUUGAAAUGUGAGAAAACCCUUUCUUAAAUCACUUCUAGUACAAAAUCGCUUGUUUGUCUUUAUUUGUUUGUGCUCCUGCAAGCAGUUUAGACUUGUUUUGUGUUGAAAGUAAAGCAGAAACUACUUACAAGGUCCAACUUAUUGCAACUUUCAUUUGAAAAACAUCAAACGUGUCAGAUUAAUGCAAAUGAGGGCAUGUCAGAAAGGAGCUAUAGUAUUUAUGC